GACGAACGCUGGCGGCGUGCUUAACACAUGCAAGUCGAACGGAAAGGCGCUGCUUUUGUGGGGUGCUCGAGUGGCGAACGGGUGAGUAACACGUGAGUAACCUGCCCUUGACUUUGGGAUAACUUCAGGAAACUGGGGCGAAUACCGGAUAGGAGCUCCUGCUGCGUGGGGGGGGUUGGAAAGUGUCGGCUGUUGGGGAUGGACUAGCGGCUUAUCAGCUUGUUGGUGGGGUAGUGGCUUACAAAGGCUUUGACGGGUAGCCGGCCUGAGAGGGUGACCGGCCACAUUGGGACUGAGAUACGGCCCAGACUCCUACGGGAGGCAGCAGUGGGGAAUAUUGCACAAUGGGCGGAAGCCUGAUGCAGCAACGCCGCGUGCGGGAUGACGGCCUUCGGGUUGUAAACCGCUUUCGCCUGUGACGAAGCGUGAGUGACGGUAAUGGGUAAAGAAGCACCGGCUAACUACGUG
rnacentral:rRNA from 1 species